GGCAAGGUAGAUCUCUUUAGCUGAGGACAAUUCCUAGAGAAGGAAGAGCUGAUAGCUAUCAGUUGCUAAAACUCCCAGCAGAGGGAAGGAGAACUUCUCAUUCUCCUGAAAGAUGGGAAAAGAAGGUGUCAUUGCAACCAAAAGAAGAUAACAGUAAGAAUUACUGCCAAAGACUUAUUAGAAACAAUGCAAAUCAUGAGACAGUGGAACAGCAUUUUAACAUGAGCU